AUAAGCUACAGAGGGCGCACGACGAAUGCCUAGGGACAAGUUGCCGAUGAAGGACGCGCAAGCGGCGAUACGCCUCGGGGAGCUGCACGAAAGCGAUAAUCCGAGGAUUUCCGAAUGGGGAAACCCGUCUCGAGUAAUGUCGGGACACCCACACCUGAAUCCAUAGGGUGUGUGGAGGGCACCGGGUGAACUGAAACAUCUAAGUAACCCGUGGAACAGAAAUCGAAGAGACUCCGUAAGUAGCGGCGAGCGAACGCGGACCAGCCUAAACCAGCGGGCAUGCCUGCUGGGGUCGUGGGGCAUCCACCAACACCUCAAACCGAGUUCCGACUCGUCGGGACUGGGUUUGGGAUGUUGGAAAAGAAGAUCGGACAGGUAUAGAGGAAGAGCGCUGGAAAGCGCCGCCACAGAGGGUGAUAGCCCCGUACUCGAAAUAUCAACCGAAUUCAGGAUGUACCCGAGUAGCACGGAACACGAGGAACUCCGUGUGAAUCUGCCCGGACCACCGGGUAAGGCUAAGUACGACUUGUCACCGAUAGUGCAUCCAGUACCGUGAGGGAAAGGUGAAAAGAACCCCGGGAGGGGAGUGAAAUAGAACCUGAAAUCGUGACGCCUACAAACAGUCAGAGCACCAUGGCGGGAGCAAUCCUGUCAAGUGUGAUGGCGUACCUUUUGCAGAAUGAGCCUGCGAGUUGUCGGCAUUGGCGAGGUUAAGCGGCUAAGCCGUGGAGCCAUAGGGAAACCGAGUCUGAAUAGGGCGUCCAGUCAUUGUCGGCAGACCCGAAACUGCGUGAUCUAGCCAUGGCCAGGCUGAAGUGAAGGUAACACUUCAUGGAGGGCCGCACUCAUUGACGUUGAAAAGUCUCGGGAUGAGCUGUGGUUAGUACGGUGAAAUGCCAAUCGAACGCAGAGAUAGCUGGUUCUCUCCGAAAUGCAUUGAGGUGCAGCGUGAUGUGUUGUCACACGGGGGUAGAGCACUGAAUGGGCUAGGGGGCUUACCCGCUUACCGAACCCAAUCAAACUCCGAAUACCGCGUGAUUAGCAUUGCAGUGAGACUACGAGGGAUAAGCUCCGUGGUCAAAAGGGAAACAGCCCAGAUCGACAGCUAAGGGCCCUAAACGACGACUAAGUGUGAAACGAUGUGAGAUCGCAUAAACAGCCAGGAGGUUGGCUUAGAAGCAGCCAUCCUUUAAAAAGUGCGUAACAGCUUACUGGCCGAAUGUGGUCUUGCGCGGAAAAUGUAUGGGGGCUAAAGUCGUCUCCCGAAGCUUCGGGAUCCCGCAAGAGCGGUGAUCGGUAGGAGAGCGUCGUGCAGGCAGUGAAGCCGGAGCGCAAGUACCGGUGGAGCGUGCACGAGCGAGAAUGCAGGCAUGAGUAGCGAUUACUGGGGUGGGAAUCCCCAGCGCCGAAAACCUAAGGUUUCUCCGGCUAUGUUCGUCAGACGGAGGUUAGGCGAGACCCUAAGGCGAGGCCAGAAGGCGUAGCCGAUGGAAUUCCGGUUGAUAUUCCGGACCUGGCGCAGUGUGCACUGGAAGGACGCUUCUGAAUGAUCUGUCCCGGACCGUUGGUAGUUCCGGGCUACUGGGAGGCUGGGCCACCUGGAAGGGUGGCACAAAGGCCGAACAGGGGGACGGGGAUGCUUCGGCUGAACCUAACCGGAUCUGACAGGGGCCGCGAAAAGCUCCAAAGGCAUUACACUGUUGCCACUCGUACCGCAAACCGACACAGGUAGGUGAGUCGAGGAGACUCAGGCGUUCGAGAGAACUCUCGUUAAGGAACUAGGCAAACGGGUCCCGUAACUUAGGAAGAAGGGACGCCCCGCAAGGGGCCGCAGCUAAGCAGCCCAGGCGACUGUUUACCAAAAACACAGGUCUCUGCCAAGGUGAAAACCGAAGUAUAGGGGCCGACGCCUGCCCAAUGCCAGUAGAUUAAUCGGAGGUGUUAGGGGCAACCCGAAGCAUCGAAGUGAAGUCCUGGUGAAUGGCGGCCGUAACUCUAACGGUCCUAAGGUAGCGAAAUUCCUUGUCGGCUAAAUACCGACCCGCAUGAAAGGCGUAACGACUUGGGCACUGUCUCAACGAGAAGCUCGGUGAAAUUGUAGUCCCCGUGAAGAUGCGGGGUACGCGCAGUAGGACGGAAAGACCCCGUGGAGCUUUACUACAACUUCGGAUUGUUGUUUGGGUGUAGAUGUAGAGCGUAGGUGGGAGCUUCGGCACCAAUGGAACACCACCCUUCUACAUCUGGAUAACUAACUCGCGCCCUGAUCGGGCGUGAGGACAUUCCGUGGCGGGUAGUUUGACUGGGGCGGUCGCCUCCCAAAGAGUAACGGAGGCGUACAAAGGUGCACUCAGGCUGGUCGGAAAUCAGCCGUUGAGCGUAUAGGUAUAGAGUGCGCUUGACUGUGAGACAGACAAGUCGAGCAGGGACGAAAGUCGGUCUAAGUGACCCUCUGGUGGUGCGUGGGCACGCCAGGGUUCAACGGAUAAAAGCUACCCCGGGGAUAACAGGCUGAUCUUGCCCGAGCGCUCAUAGCGACGGCAUGGUUUGGCACCUCGAUGUCGGCUCGUCGCAU
rnacentral:rRNA from 1 species